rnacentral:rRNA from 1 species
AGAGUUUGAUCCUGGCUCAGAACGAACGCUGGCGGCAUGCCUAACACAUGCAAGUCGAACGUGAUCCGGGCUUCGGCCUGGUGAAAGUGGCAGACGGGUGAGUAACGCGUGGGAACCUGCCCUGUGGUAGGGAAUAACCGUGGGAAACUGCGGCUAAUACCCUAUGAGUCCUUCGGGAGAAAGAUUUAUCGCCAUAGGAGGGGCCCGCGUCGGAUUAGGUAGUUGGUGGGGUAACGGCCUACCAAGCCUUCGAUCCGUAGCUGGUCUGAGAGGAUGAUCAGCCACACUGGGACUGAGAUACGGCCCAGACUCCUACGGGAGGCAGCAGUGGGGAAUAUUGGACAAUGGGGGCAACCCUGAUCCAGCAAUGCCGCGUGGAUGAUGAAGGCCUUCGGGUUGUAAAGUCCUUUCGGCGGGGAAGAUGAUGACGGUACCCGCAGAAGAAGCCCCGGCUAACUUCGUGCCAGCAGCCGCGGUAAUACGAAGGGGGCUAGCGUUGUUCGGAAUUACUGGGCGUAAAGGGCGCGUAGGCUGUGCUGUAAGUCAGGCGUGAAAGCCCCGGGCUCAACCUGGGAAUUGCGCUUGAUACUGCGGCGCUGGAAGGUGGGAGAGGAUGGCGGAAUUCCCAGUGUAGAGGUGAAAUUCGUAGAUAUUGGGAAGAACACCGGUGGCGAAGGCGGCCAUCUGGCCCAUUUUUGACGCUGAGGCGCGAAAGCGUGGGGAGCAAACAGGAUUAGAUACCCUAGUAGUCC